UACGUAGGGGGCAAGCGUUGUCCGGAAUCAUUGGGCGUAAAGAGCGUGUAGGCGGCCCGAUAAGUCCGCUGUGAAAGUCCAGGGCUCAACCCUGGAAUGCCGGUGGAUACUGUCGGGCUCGAAUCCGGAAGAGGUGAGUGGAAUUCCUGGUGUAGCGGUGAAAUGCGCAGAUAUCAGGAGGAACACCAAUGGCGAAGGCAGCUCACUGGGACGGUAUUGACGCUGAGGUGCGAAAGCGUGGGGAGCAAACAGG
rnacentral:rRNA from 1 species